CGCUAUCUGAGAUCUGUUACAUAUACUUCUAAGGAUUCGUUACCGCGAAUCCGUCUAAUUCCAAUAGGCUUGUCACCCGGCAGUUGGCGUUCAUCCCUUCGCUAGCACCAGUACACAAACGUCUUCGAACCAAUCGGCACAAAAGUAUAUAAAUAUUCAGGCCGGUAGAACUGUGUUCCAGUACCGGCAUUAAUAUCAGAAUUAUUUUGUAUCGUACACCAUCGAAACGAUAUCCGGUUGUCUUGCUUCAUCGAUAGUUGCAAUUUUCUAAUACACUAUCAAUAAAUGGAGCACACAACAGACUAUUUAUCCGGAACUUGAAUACAAAUAUUAUCGCUUGACCAUCGAUUAUCCCACAGCUGAUCGGUCUAAGAUUCGGUACUUAUUUAUUUUCGAAGUUGCAGCUUAACAUCAAACGGGAGUGAUAGCCGGUAGCCGCUCUUGCUCACUUGCUACUACCAGAACAAGGUCUGAAAGACAACACUCCUUUGUCGUCCAGAGUCGCUGCUGCUCUGGGCCUUGUAUGGAAGAUGGGUGGGAAUAUGUGGAGUACAAAAGUCCUCUUCACGAUAUGGAUAUUAUGGUGUGCCGCACUAUUCCCAUCGGCGAAGGUGUGGGCCAUAUCCUGGAAGCCCUCUGCACUGCCGAUUGUGCCUUACACGCUGGCCAGUCAAUUAGUGCCACGCCGUGAGAACAAUGCCGGCGACCUGGAAUCAGUGCCGAUUGAAGCCGACGCAGAUCACGACAACCUCGAAGCCGGCACUUCCUUAUGGGACUCUUCGUUGGAAAACCGAAUCAACGUUAACGCUGACACACUUAUUCCUCUUCUGUCCACUCCCUCUCUUCCAUCCAUGCCGGCAUGGUUCCGAACAUCCGAUGAUCCUGUUCGGCGCAAAAGAGUUCUGGGGAUUGAAAUCCCUGAUGUAAUAGCAUUCCACCAACCAAAGUCGUCACGGGUCUCACUCCCUUUUUCAAUGAACGUUAGUCUACAAAAUCUGCGGAAGCUGAGCCAAGGACUGCAUAAGAGUGGACGCCGAAGAUAAGUGGCUGUUACAGCUCUGAAUUGAAAUGUCGCAUUCUGUUCACUGUGGACACGUUUUUCUCAAGUGAGCAGCAUUCCCCCGUGGAUUUUAAUUGGUCAUGCGAACCCUAAAUCACGAUGCGCGACAAAACCCGGCAAAAUCGAUUUCGUUACAGUCCACUGCAUCAUCGCGUCGGCUCCUUUAUCAUCCCUUAAAUGUUGUUCCCAUGGAUAGGUACCUCGCAGCUGAAUUCAUUAAAUUAUCCACAAAGCCAACUUCAUUCCCAGUAAAAUGACUUUUGGGCUUUCCGUUUAAUAUCACAGUUAUCCGGCAAACGACGUUAUUUGCAUUCAACUCAUUUAUACGAUGGUAAAAAGAAUAAUACGCGGCAUAUUCUUACAUUAUUAUUAUACAUUUAUCCGUAAUAAAUUAUUUUGCUCGGAGUUUAUAUAUUAAUUUUACGUUGGUGGUACAACUUGCAGUAACGGGGCUUAAUGUUUUUUUUUAUUUUAUGCAUUUAUUACCGUACGUUCUGUGUUGUGUACGAGAUUGAUGGACAUUGGACAGUAUGCAAUUUUUGCACAAUAAUGAGUUUUUAUGCUGUCAAAAAUCUGCAAGCCGCUACAAAAUAAAACCCGCUUGAUCCCGG